GGCGGGGGGGGGGGCGUGAAAAUACCCCUGAAACACGGAAAGAAGAGGCCACUGUCAGCUCUUGCAGAGACUUGGUCCGACAGACUCAGCGCUGCACGAAAACACAAGGAUCCCUGAACCCAGCCAGUGGCCAUUGCAUGCUUCAUAACCUCAGGCAUGUCACUCAGGGGGUCAGCCUAUUUUAGGCGUGAAUCAGGAGCAACUCAACUGAAAUCCCCGGGAACUCGCAGAUGUAUAAUAAUAUUGAGUUUUGUUUCGCUCUCACUUACAAAAAUGAGAACUAUUAUAAUAAUUGGAGCAUUUUCUUUGGGAAUGUGAAGCCUUCAUGAAAUACUUUAGCAAAUUGUUGAGAAAAUAAAAACUGAUGUCUGGAAAUAUCAUUA